GAUGAACGCUAGCUACAGGCUUAACACAUGCAAGUCGAGGGGUAGCAGGGUAGCAAUAUCGCUGACGACCGGCGCACGGGUGAGUAACACGUAUCCAACCUUCCCAUAACUCGGGGAUAGCCUUUCGAAAGAAAGAUUAAUACCCGAUAGUACUUUUUCAAGGCAUCUUGAGAAAGUUAAAGAUUUAUUGGUUAUGGAUGGGGAUGCGUUCCAUUAGAUAGUUGGUGAGGUAACGGCUCACCAAGUCUUCGAUGGAUAGGGGUUCUGAGAGGAAGGUCCCCCACAUUGGUACUGAGACACGGACCAAACUCCCACGGGAGGCAGCAGUGAGGAAUAUUGGUCAAUGGGCGAGAGCCUGAACCAGCCAAGUAGCGUGAAGGAUGAAGGUCCUAUGGAUUGUAAACUUCUUUUAUAGUAGAAUAAAGUGAUCCACGUGUGGAUUUUUGUAUGUAUACUAUGAAUAAGGAUCGGCUAACUCCGUGCCAGCCGCCGCCGUAAAAC
rnacentral:rRNA from 1 species